GACGUAGGGCGCAAGCGUUGUCCGGAUUUAUUGGGCGUAAAGAGCUCGUAGGCGGCCUGUCGCGUCGACCGUGAAAACCCGCAGCUCAACUGCGGGCUUGCGGUCGAUACGGGCAGGCUGGAGUUCGGUAGGGGAGACUGGAAUUCCUGGUGUAGCGGUGAAAUGCGCAGAUAUCAGGAGGAACACCGGCGGCGAAGGCGGGUCUCUGGGCCGAUACUGACGCUGAGGAGCGAAAGCGUGGGGAGCGAACAGG
rnacentral:rRNA from 1 species